rnacentral:rRNA from 1 species
AUUGAACGCUGGCGGCAGGCCUAACACAUGCAAGUCGAACGAGUGGCGGACGGGUGAGUAAUGUCUGGGAAACUGCCCGAUGGAGGGGGAUAACUACUGGAAACGGUAGCUAAUACCGCAUACCAUCGGAUGUGCCCAUAUGGGAUUAGCUAGUGGGUGGGGUAACGGCUCACCAAGGCAACGAUCCCUAGCUGGUUUGAGAGGAUGACCAGCCACACUGGAACUGAGACACGGUCCAGACUCCUACGGGAGGCAGCAGUGGGGAAUUUUGGACAAUGGGCGAAAGCCUGAUGCAGCCAUGCCGCGUGUAUGAAGAAGGCCUUCGGGUUGUAAAGUACUUUCGGCGGGGAGGCGUUACUCGCAGAAGAAGCACCGGCUAACUACGUGCCAGCAGCCGCGGUAAUUC